CAACGCCGCGUGGGGGAGUGACGGUUCUCGGAUUGUAAACCCUUUGGCCGGAACGAGGAAGGACGGUACCGGUCGAAUCAGCCCCGGCUAACUACGUGC
rnacentral:rRNA from 1 species